AGAUUGAACGCUGGCGGCAGGCCUAACACAUGCAAGUCGAGCGGUAGAGAGGUGCUUGCAUCUCUUGAGAGCGGCGGACGGGUGAGUAAUGCCUAGGAAUCUGCCUAGUGGUGGGGGAUAACGUUCGGAAACGGACGCUAAUACCGCAUACGUCCUACGGGAGAAAGCGGGGGACCUUCGGGCCUCGCGCCAUUAGAUGAGCCUAGGUCGGAUUAGCUAGUUGGUGAGGUAAUGGCUCACCAAGGCGACGAUCCGUAACUGGUCUGAGAGGAUGAUCAGUCACACUGGAACUGAGACACGGUCCAGACUCCUACGGGAGGCAGCAGUGGGGAAUAUUGGACAAUGGGCGAAAGCCUGAUCCAGCCAUGCCGCGUGUGUGAAGAAGGUCUUCGGAUUGUAAAGCACUUUAAGUUGGAGAAGGGUUGUAAACCUUAAUACGUGACGAACUACUUGACGUUACCGACGAGAAUAAGCACCGGACUAACUUCGU
rnacentral:rRNA from 1 species